rnacentral:tRNA from 1 species
GGCGGGUAGUUGUCUUGGCCUAGACUUCUAAUCUGUGGCCAGGGAGGGUGACGACCUUCCGCUCGCUA